AAUUUAGCAAGUACCACAGUGAGUUAAAUUCCAAGUAAAGUGGAACUUCUGUUUAAAACCCAUGGUACUUAGGUUUUUAAUAAGUGUUUAUUAGGAGAAUGAAUAGAGUUCAUUGUAAGAGAAGAGGUAAAGAGAAUAGGUGUAUAAAAACUAAGGUCAAACUCAUUAUACAUAUUCAGAGUUUACCCAAGAAAAAAUAACAUUCCACAGGGUAAGUUAUUUACAAGGAAAGUCUUCUUGAUGCAAUUAGCCUCUGUGAUUCCCAAUCCUAUUAGCCUGGACUCUUAGCGUGAUUGCAUGGAUUCUCCUGAUGUCAUUCAUCCAGGAUAGGGUUUAAGUUUUGCAAAGAGCUGUUGCUCAGCAAUGUUUGAUUAAGUAAAGUACAAAUGCUGUAGUGCUAAGUAUCUGCUUAACAGUUGGAUCUUUAAAGCUUUUGUACUAACUCUUUGAAGCCAUAAAGUCAAUUAUGGAUUUGCAUAUCCCCAUGAUAAGACAGUGAGACUGUCAUGGAUGAUGAAAGGUUAUGGCCUUAUAAUGCCCCAAGAAAAGAAGACUUCUGCUAAGAGACAAAGCUGUACCAGAGUCGAGGGUAUAAUUCUUCAAUCCGCUAAAAUUACAAAAAAUUUCAAAGUAUCACUUCAGAUCAUUUUUCAAGAUGUGCUUGUUGACCUUCUAAAUUAGAUGGUAUUUUUCUACUUUCAGGAAAUGAACAACAGGCCCAAUAAUUUCGGAGUGAUUUAUGAGUAUCCAAUGCAAUGGCACACUAUGGACAGACUUUAUGUGAACAAAUCUGAAAAAAAAAUAGUUUGUUCUGGUAUAUCUUGGGUUAUCAUAAGCCACCACACCAGAACAAAAACUGCUUCUUUUUAUAAUAAAGCUUCAAAAAGGAGAUUAGGUAUAUUUGCUUCAAAAAUAACAAUUUGAAUUUUUUAAUGAGAUUUAUUUUUCAAAUUUUAUUUUUCAAAAUAAAGACCACCAAAUGCCUCAUUCUUAUAGGAAAUCUAAAUAGAAAAUAUACAAAACAUAAUAACUCCUAUCAUCCAAUCCCGGCCAUUCUGAGUCAAUUACUGAUGCAUUUUCAUUCAAUUCUUUUCACGUGCUGAGUCUCACUUGAGGAAAGGGACCCGCGUUAUGGAGUUGGCAAGUGCCAUUAUAGCCUCAAAAGUGCAAGAGUACAUUUCUGGGUGCUGUUCACUCCUGCUAUCGUCUUUCAUCACUCCCUUUAGUGUCUGCCUCAGGCGGAUCACCUUGACUCUUUAAUCAAAUUAAGAUUUCAAAUGCCAUUUCUAAAACUUUUUUUUUUUUUCAAACGCUAUGUAAUCAGGUGACAGACAUCCGCCUGCGACAGGACAUCUGCCUGCGACUCAAAACAUUCGAGAGUUUUUCCUGGUGAAUUCAGUCUCACUUCCUGCCAAAGUAAACGAGUUCCUGUGCUGGCCGUCCCGCCCCUCCGAAUCCUCGGGAGAAGCGGGACUAAAGGAUCAAGCUGAAGUGAAUGUGUAGCCCUGUGACCUCAGCGCGCGGGGGCGGGGCGAUCGCCGGACACCCCCGCCCUCCCCGCCUCCAGCGCGAGUGACAACCCGGUCUCUGGCUCUGGAGCUGCGGCGCGGAACAAGCCCCGCAGGGCCUUCCCUGGCCGCCAACACACCACUCCCGGAGCUGAUUCCCUGUGCCCAGCUCCUUUCUUGGCGAGGCUUCAGUCCCUUAGUCGGCCUCAGUCUGUCCACCUUCGGAGAGGUCUGAGCGCUAGCCGGAGACAGGUAGACACCGAGAAGUGACAGAACCCAGAGGAAGCUGGAGAGAGGCAGCGAGGAAACGAGGGCCCGGCGGGCAGCAGCAUGAAAUUCAGCCCAGUGCCCUACCUGCUGCCUCUCCUGCCCGCGCUGGUCCUCAGCACCAGAUGGCCAAAUAGGAACGGCUCCGGUCUGCAGCACCCAGCAAGACCAACGCAGAAGGCAGUGGUGCCUGGAACAUCAGCGAGACAGAACCAUUCACUCCCCUGGAAAGGGGGUGGAAGCCAGGGAGCCAAGUGGUCUUGCUCAGCAGAUCCCACCCCCACGGAGCCCAGCAAGCUAACAUCCUCUUGCUUGAAAUUCUUGCUGCCAGCACAGCAGUCUGAAGUCCACCCGGGAUGCCCGAGCUUGAUAGUAGGGAGGGGCGUCUGCCAUUACUGAGGCUUGAGUAAGCAGUUUUCCUCUCACAGUAUAAACAAAGCUGAAGGGAAGUUCUGGCUGGGCAGAGCCCACCACAGCGACCCAAAGCUGCUGUAGCCAGACUGCCUCGCUAGAUUCCUCCUCUCUGGGCAGGGCAUCUCUGAAAGAAAAGGCAGCAGCCCCAGUCAGGGGCUUAUAGGUAAAACUCCCAUCUCAUGGGACAGAGCACCUGGGGGAAGGGGCACUUGUGUGUGCAGCUUCAGCAGACUUAAACAUUCCUGCCUGCUGACUCUGAAGAGAGCAGUGGAUCUCCCAGCACUGUGCUUGAGCUCUACUAAGGGACAGGCUGUCUCCUCAAUUGGGACCCUGACCCCCGUGCCUCCUGACUGGAAGACACCUCCCAGCAGGGGUCGACAGACACCUCAUACAGGAAAGCUCCGACUGGCAUCUGGCGGGUGCCCCUCUGGAAUGAAGCUUCCAGAGGAAGGAGCAGGCAGCAAUCUUUGCUGUUCUGCAGCCUCCGCUGGUGAUACCUAGGCAAACAAGGUCUGGAAUGGACCCCCAGCAAACUCUAGCAGACCUGCAGAAGGGGGUCCUGACUGUUGGAAGGAAAACUAACAAAUAGAAAGGAAUAACAUCAACAUCAACAAAAAGUAGGACCGCCCAAAAAUUCCAUCCGAAGGUCACCAAUGGCAAAGACCAAAGGUAGAUAAAUUCAUGAAGACGAAGAAAAACGAGCCCAAAAAGGCUGAAAAUUCAAAAACCAGAAUGCCUUUUCUCCUCCAAAGGAUCACAACUCCUUGCCAGCAAGGGAACAAAACUGGACGGAGAAUGAGUUUGACAAAUUGACAGAAAUAGGCUUCAGAAGGUGGCUAAUAACGAACUCCUCCAAGCUAAAGGGGCAUGUUCUAUCCCAAUGCAAGGAAGCUAAGAAUCUUGAUAAAAGGUUAGACGAAUUGCUAACUAGAUUAACCAGUUUAGAGAAGAAUAUAAAUGACCUGAUGGAGCUGAAAAAUACAGCAUGGGAACUUGGUGAAGCAUACACAAGUAUCAAUAGCCGAAUUGAUCAACCAGAAGAAAAGAUAUCAGAGAUUGAAGAUCAACUUAAUGAAAUAAAUUGUGAAGACAAGAUUAGAGAAAAAAGAAUGAAAGGGAAUGAAAAAAGCCUCCAAGAAAUAUGGGACUAUAUGAAAACACCAAACCUAUAUUUGAUUGGUGUAUGUGAAAGUGACAGGGAGAAUGGAACCAAGUUGGAAAACACACUUCAGGGUGUUAUCCAGGAGAAUUUCCCCAACCUAGCAAUACAGGCCAUCAUCCAAAUUCAGGAAUUAGAAAGAACACCACAAAGAUACUCCUUGAAAAUAGCUACCCCGAGACACAUAAUCAUCAGAUUCACCAAGAGUGAAAUGAAGGAAAAAAUGUUAAGGGCAGCCACAGAAAAAGGUUGGGUUAUCCACAAAGGGAAGCCCAUCACACUAACAGUGGAUAUCUCUGCAGAAACCCUACAAGCCAGAAGAGAGUGGGAGGGGGGGCAAUAUUCAACAUUCUUAAUGAAAAUAAUUUUCAACCAAGAAUUGCAUAUCCAGCCAAACUGAGCUUCAUAGGCAAAGGAGAAAUACAAUUUUUUUUCCAGACAAGCAAAUGCUGAGGGAUUUUGUCACCACCAGGCCUGCUUUACAAGAGCUCCUGAAGGAAGGACUAAAUAUGGAAAGGAAAACUGGUACCAGCCAGUGCAAAAACAAACCAAAAUGUAAAGACUGUCAACACUGUGAAGAAACUGCAUCAACUAAUGGGCAAAAUAAUCAGCUAGCAUCAUAAUGACAGGACCAAAUUCACACUUAACAAACAAUAUUAACCUUAAAUAUAAAUGAGCUAAAUGACCCAAUUAAAAGACACAGACUGGCAAAUUGGAUAAAGAAUCAAGACCCAUCAGUGUGCUGUAUUCAGGAGACCCAUCUCAUGUGCAAAGACACACAUAAGCUCAAAAUUAAGGGAUGGAGGAAGACUUACCAAGCAAAUGGAAAGCACAGAAAAGCAGUGGUUGCAAUCCUAGACUCUGAUAAAACAGACUUUAAAUCAACAAAGCACAAAAAAGACAAAGAAGGGCAUUACAUAAUGGUAAAGGAUCAAUGCAACAGGAAGAGCUAACUAUCCUAAAUAUAUAUGCACCCAAUACAGGAGCAACCAGAUUCGUAAAGCAAGUUCUUAGAGACCUGCAAAAAGACAGACUCCCACACAAUAAUAGUGGGAGACUUUAACACCCCACUGUCAAUAUUAGACAGAUCAACUAGACAGAAAAUUAACAAGGAUAUUCAGGACUUGAAUUCAGCACUGGAACAAGUGGGUCUAAUAGACAUCUCCAGAACUCUCCACCCGAAAUGAACAGAAUAUGCAUUCUUCUCAGCACCACAUAGCAGUUAUUCUAAAAUCGGCUCUAUACUUGGAAGUAAAAUACUCCUCAGCAAAUGUAAAAUAAUGGAAAUCAUAGCAAACAGUCUCUCAGACCACAGUGCAAUCAAAUUAGAACUCAGGAUUAAGAAACUCAUUAAAAAACACACGACUACAUGGAAACUGAACAACUUGCUCCUGAAUGACUACUGGGUAAAUAACAAAAUGAAGCCCUAAAUAAGUAAGUUCCUUGCAACCAAUGAGAACAAAUACACAAUGUACCAGUAUCACUGGGACACAGCUAUAACACUGUUUAGAGGGAAAUUUAUAGCAUUAAAUGCCCACAAGCGAGAGCAGGAAAGGUCUAAAAUAGACACCCUAACAUGACAAUUAAAAGAACUAGAGAAGCAAGAGCAAACAAAUUCAAAAGCUAGCAGAAGACAAGAAACACCAAGAUCAGAGAAGAACUGAAGGAGAUAGAGAUGAAAAUCACUUCAAAAAAUCAAUGAAUCCAGGAGAUGUUUUUUUUUUGAAAAGAUUAACAAAAUAGACCACUAGCCAGACUAAUAAAGAAGAAAAGAGAGAAGAAUCAAAUAGACACAAUAAAAAAAGAUAAAGGGGAGAUCACCACUGAUCCCACAGAAACACAAACUACCAUCAGAGAAUACUGUAAAUACCUCUAUGCAAAUAAACCAAGGAAUCUGGAAGAAAUGAAUAAAUUCCUGUAUACGUAUAUCCUCCCAAGACUGAACCAAGAAGAAAUCAAAUCCCUGAAUAGACCAAUAACAAGUUCUGAAAUUGAGGCAGUAAUUAAUACCCUACCAACUAAAAAAAGUCCAAGACGAGAAGGAUUCACAGCCAAAUUCUGCUAGAGGUACAAAGAGGGGCUGGUACCAUUCUUUCUAAAACUAUUCUAAACAAUAGAAAAAGAGGGACUCAUCCCUAACUCAUUUUAUGAGGCCAGCAUCAUCCUGAUACCAAAACCUGGCAGAGACACAACCAAAAAAAAAAUUUCAGGCCAAUGUCCCUUAUGAACAUUGGUACAAAAAUCCUUAAUAAAAUACUGGCAAAACAAAUCCAGCAGCACAUCAAAAAGCUUAACCACCAUGAU